rnacentral:lncRNA from 1 species
CGCUUCACCUUCUUCCUAUGCUAUUCGCCUUCCUUCGCUGGUCGCUCCAUCACCCCAGUGGAACCAUCACAUCUGCCGCCUCUUGUCGAUCUGGCGUGUUGCAUUCGCACACGUGAUGCGACACAAGGACACGAUAGGUAAUCCCCUUCUCUGCUCUUGAUCAACAAAUUUGGCCUCGUUUAGUUUCCAAGAAAUUUUUCUAAAAACAUCAUAUCAAAUUUUUGGACAUCUAAAUAAAGCAUUAAACAUAGAUGAACCAAAAAAAACUAAUUGCACAGUUAUGGAAGAAAUCUUAAGACGAAUCUUUUGAGCCCAAUUAGUCCAUUAUUAGACAUAAGUGCUACAGUAACCAACAUAUGCUAAUGACUGAUUAAUUAGGUUCAAAAAUUCGUCUCGCGGUUUCUAGGCUAGCCGUGAAAUUCGUUUUUCCAUUCGUGUCCGAAAACCCCUUUCGACAUCCGAUCAAACGUUCGAUGUGAUAUUUUUGCCAAAAAAUUUUGGCAACUAGACACCACCAAGUCUCCAGAUGAUGUGUCAUGCAUGCUUGCAGUACUAUUUUAAGUUUCCAAUCUGCUGGUUAAGAGGAUCCGUCUACACAUGCAUCUACAUGGUCGCUUGAUUCAUGAAGUGUCUAGCCUGGUUUCCUGUGUUGCUUGAUAUAUCUCCCUACGAUCCAUCGUCAAUACAUGCAUAUACGAUAUGUGUACUGUUCCAGAUCCAACAAAUUUCUAAUGUCACUUCAGUUUAUUUGAUUAGAUAUUUUUGUGUUUACAUAAUUACCACACACAUGCUUUCUAAAGAAAACUAGAUGCAAGGUUGCAUAUACUUAUAUAAAAGAUAUAAAUUGGAAGGAUCAAUGUUUACAAUACAACUAUAUAUAGUUUAAAUUAUAUGGAUUAUGAUGUAAAUUAGCCAAUUUUUAUGAAUAAUACAAAUACAUUUGUAAUAGGAUUCAUGGUUAACCAUUAUUAACGUUCUUGUAGUAGAAGGCCAGGAACUGGGGAGAGGGAAGGCCAGGGACACGAACGGCUGGGCCGGGAACCAUAGCGAGAGGAGGUCAUGGUCAGGACCCGGGGGGAGGGGAGGCCGGGGACUCGGAUAGCAGGGCUGGGACCCAGGGGAGAGGAGGCCGGGGACUCGGACUUAUUAUAUGAUGCACUUUAUUUCAGUUGUAUUUGAUGCAUCUAAGGCAUAUGUUUCAUUCUUACUUUUAGCUAGAACAGUCUAGCUUCUUACCGUACAACUUUUCUCUCCUAUUUGCUAUGAGGUUUUUGGCAAUUAGGCAAAAUACUUGCAUAUCAGUGUUUUAAGUAGGAAAAUACCUUUCAUCGUAGCACCAAUAUAAGUUUUACUUUUAGCUAUGCCUGGUAAAUGCACUUGGCUUUGUACUUAUGGUGGUCCAGCAAUGACAACGUUAAUUAGUAGCCACAGAUGGAGAAUAAGAAAUCUAAAUCAAUCCAUGUCUGUUAUGUUACCUCCUACUUUGGAUUGAUGGUCCCUUGUGUUCUUCCAUCACACAUGUAGGUUUAACGGGCUUCUACAAUUUGAAAUAUGUAAGAAAUGAUAUGUAAAACUGUUUGUCUCUGUGAUCUAUUACAACGGAAUUUUGUU